GGAAUCGGAGGGAGCUUGCUCCCGAAGAUUAGCGGCGGACGGGUGAGUAACACGUGGGCAACCUGCCUGAAGACUGGGAUAACUUCGGGAAACCGGAGCUAAUACCGGAUAAUCCUUUCCCUCACAUGAGGGAAAGCUGAAAGACGGUUUCGGCUGUCACUUACAGAUGGGCCCGCGGCGCAUUAGCUAGUUGGUGAGGUAACGGCUCACCAAGGCGACGAUGCGUAGCCGACCUGAGAGGGUGAUCGGCCACACUGGGACUGAGACACGGCCCAGACUCCUACGGGAGGCAGCAGUAGGGAAUCUUCCGCAAUGGACGAAAGUCUGACGGAGCAACGCCGCGUGAGCGAAGAAGGCCUUCGGGUCGUAAAGCUCUGUUGUCAGGGAAGAACAAGUGCCGGAGUAACUGCCGGCACCUUGACGGUACCUGACCAGAAAGCCACGGCUAACUACGUGCCAGCAGCCGCGGUAAUACGUAGGUGGCAAGCGUUGUCCGGAAUUAUUGGGCGUAAAGCGCGCGCAGGCGGUCCUUUAAGUCUGAUGUGAAAGCCCACGGCUCAACCGUGGAGGGUCAUUGGAAACUGGGGGACUUGAGUGCAGAAGAGGAGAGUGGAAUUCCACGUGUAGCGGUGAAAUGCGUAGAGAUGUGGAGGAACACCAGUGGCGAAGGCGACUCUCUGGUCUGUAACUGACGCUGAGGCGCGAAAGCGUGGGGAGCGAACAGGAUNAGAUACCCUGGUAGUCCACGCCGUAAACGAUGAGUGCUAAGUGUUAGAGGGUUUCCGCCCCUUUAGUGCUGCAGCAAACGCAUUAAAGCACUCCGCCUGGGGAGUACGGCCGCAAGG
rnacentral:rRNA from 2 species